rnacentral:rRNA from 1 species
GACAGAGGCCUCAAGCGUUAGGCGGAAUCACUGGGCUUAAAGCGUGUGUAGGCGGAUCGUUAAGUGUCUUGUGAAAUCCCACGGCUCACUCGUGGAACGGCUGGGCAUACUGGCGAUCUUGGGCCAACUAGGGGGCAACUGGAACAAGCGGUGGAGCGGUGAAAUGCGUAGAUAUCGCUUGGAACGCCGAAGGUGAAAACAGGUUGCUGGGGUUGUGCCGACGCUGAGACACGAAAGCCAGGGGAGCAAACGGG